UGUAGGGGGGAAGAAUUUUGGCGUGACAGCGCCAACGCAGACGGCCUAUUGUAGCGCUGCAUUGAUAGCAGUGAGCUAAUGAUAGCUUAUGCUGCUAGUUUUCAAGGGAGUGAAACACAAAGGAGGUGGAAUCCAAAGAUGCGUGGGCGAAGGCUUUGGGCGAGCCAUGUCAUUUGUGUGCACGGGGAAAGACGCAGCUGCUGGCAGAGUUCCUCCUCUGGCUGGUCGCAGGGACACGCCCCCGCUCACGCUGAGCGCAGCACACCCACGAAGCGACAAACCUGCACCCACUCGCCAAUCUGCCCACCUGGAAUAGAUGAGGGCGGGCUGGAUAAAGGUCCAGUGGACCCAAGGAUCAACGCGGGAACUUAGUUUUCUCUCUGUGUACCUCUUCCCCCUUCGAGAUCGUCUUUUGUUACCCCCUGUGUUUUUGGACUGCCUUCCCUGAUUCCCGACCCUCGCCUGAACACGGAUCUAGCCUCUUUUCUCCUGCCCUGGAUGUUCAUCUGCCUGCCUUUCGGACCGCCUUGUUGCUUCGCUCUCUACAACACUUGGUAACACUGGGGUUUGACACACUCCAUCUCCUUGGGUUAUCUUAUUAGUUUAGUAUUGUUUAUUAUUAUUAUUAUUAUUAUAUAGAUUAUUGAUCAUUACAGCCACUUGGUGUCAGUCUGCCGUCAUCUCCAUUCAGUAAACAUAACUAAUUUUUAAGGUGGUGCGACUUUUAUUUUAUUUUGUAGUAGUAGCGACUUCCUCCCAGUCAACUUCCUUUAUUUUUACUUUAUCGAAGUAGGCAUGCAUGUGAUGUUGAGGCCACAUUGGGGCCUGUGUGGGUUUACACUGCAGUCUGAUAAAAAUCUAAUUUUAAUUGCUGUGUAAACAGUCAGCUGGAAAAAAAUCGGAGGAUUAAAACAAACAGUGUAGUGGAGCCUAAGCAAUUAAUAAUUAUGACUUUUUUAUUCAAGGUUAAUAGUAAGAACUGGUUAAUCGUUACAUACCCAGCUGGGAAAUGACUCAUUAGUAUCAAGCUUACAAUUAUCAUACGACAAUGAUAGUACAUACCACAUUUGGCAUUGCCCAGGAUGAUCUGCUACAGUAAAACAUUACUACAGACUGCAUAUAGUAUAGUUUAUAGUGCAGAUUUACUUUUUAAAUAAACUAUCAUGAAUGUUUGAAAAAGCUGCCACUGAAAGACAUUUUUCAUUUUUGGAAUUAUUGAAACCACCAAUUGAUCACAAAAACCUUGAUUAAUGAAUGUAAUGUUUUGACCAU